rnacentral:sRNA from 1 species
AUUCUGCCCAUGCGGGGAAGGAUGAGAAGCUUCGACCAAGGUUCGACUCGAGCGCCAGCGAGAGAGCGUUGCCGCAGGCAACGACCCGAAGGGCGAAGCG